rnacentral:lncRNA from 1 species
GUGUAUUGCACCGGAGACUGAAAGAAGGGUGAGGUUUUGGGGGCUCUGAUGUGCAAGUGUUGCCACCUUUAAAUGGCCCCUUACUCUCAUAAUCAGUGCUGAGUAGUGGCAAGGGGGAGAAAAUGGAAAAGUUGGCAUGGGAGAGAAGGCAGAUCCAGAAGAUAGGAUACAGCUCAGCCCUGAGAAUGUGGCCUGAUUUUCUCUUCUGUUAUUACAACUGCUCUUCUGCUUGAGUUUCUUCUACACCUUCAAGAUGGCUGAAGAACAAGACGCUUUCUCUCCAUGUCUAUGCUGUUUCACUAUGCUGCAAAUAUUCCCAGCCUUUUCCCCUUGAUGCCCAAAAUAAAUUCCUCAAAUACCCUGA